rnacentral:rRNA from 1 species
AGAGUUUGAUCAUGGCUCAGAACGAACGCUGGCGGCAUGCCUAACACAUGCAAGUCGAACGAGACCUUCGGGUCUAGUGGCGCACGGGUGCGUAACGCGUGGGAAUCUGCCCUAGGGUGCGGAAUAACUCGGAGAAAUCCGUGCUAAUACCGCAUAAUGUCUUCGGACCAAAGAUUUAUCGCCCUGGGAUGAGCCCGCGUAAGAUUAGCUAGUUGGUGGGGUAAAGGCCUACCAAGGCGACGAUCUUUAGCUGGUCUGAGAGGAUGAUCAGCCACACUGGGACUGAGACACGGCCCAGACUCCUACGGGAGGCAGCAGUGGGGAAUAUUGGACAAUGGGCGAAAGCCUGAUCCAGCAAUGCCGCGUGAGUGAUGAAGGCCCUAGGGUUGUAAAGCUCUUUUACCCGGGAUGAUAAUGACAGUACCGGAGAAUAGUC